rnacentral:rRNA from 1 species
UACGGGAGGCAGCAGUGGGGAAUAUUGCACAAUGGGCGCAAGCCUGAUGCAGCCAUGCCGCGUGUAUGAAAAAGGCCUUCGGGUUGUAAAGUACUUUCAGUCGUGAGGAAGGUGUUAAGGUUAAUAACCUUAGCAAUUGACGUUAGCGACAGAAGAAGCACCGGCUAACUCCGUGCCAGCAGCCGCGGUAAUACGGAGGGUGCGAGCGUUAAUCGGAAUUACUGGGCGUAAAGGGCACGCAGGCGGUUAAUUAAGUUGGAUGUGAAAUCCCCGGGCUUAACCUGGGAAUGGCAUUCAAGACUGGUUAGCUAGAGUCUUGUAGAGGGGGUAGAAUUCCAUGUGUAGCGGUGAAAUGCGUAGAGAUGUGGAGGAAUACCGGUGGCGAAGGCGGCCCCUGGGACAAAGACUGACGCUCAUGUGCGAAAGCGUGGGGAGCAAAGGCAGGGAUUAGAUAC